GAUGAACGCUGGCGGCGUGCCUAUUCCUUCCAAGUCGAGCGAAAAGACGAGGAGCUUGCUCCUCUGCCGUUAGCGGCGGACGGGUGGGUAACACGUGGAUAACCUACCUAUAAGACGGGGAUAACUUCGGGAAACCGGAGCUAAUACCGGAUAAUUUAUUGAACCCCAUGGUUCAAAAGUGAAAAACGGUUUUGCUGUCCCUUAUAGUGGAAUCCGCGCCGCAUAAGGAAGUUGGUAAGGUAACGGCUUACCAAGGCGACGAUGCGUAGCCGACCUGAGAGGGUGAUCGGCCACACUGGAACUGAGACAAGGUCCCGACUCCUACGGGGGGCAACAGGAGGGAAUCUUCCGGAAUGGGCGGAAGCCUGACGGAGCAACGGCGCGGGAGUGAUGAAGGUCUUCGGAUCGUAAAACUCUUGUAAUAGGGAAAAACAAAUGUGGAAGUAAAUAUGCACGGCUUGAAGGUACCUAAUCAGAAAGCCACGGCUAACUACGUG
rnacentral:rRNA from 1 species